CCUACGGGAGGCAGCAGUGAGGAAUAUUGGUCAAUGGGCGAGAGCCUGAACCAGCCAAGUCGCGUGAAGGAUGACGGCCCUACGGGUUGUAAACUUCUUUUGUCAGGGAGCAAUUUGGUCCACGCGUGGGCUUAGCGAGAGUACCUGAAGAAAAAGCAUCGGCUCACUCCGUGCCAGCAGCCGCGGUAAUACGGAGGAUGCGAGCGUUCUCCGGAUUUAUUGGGUUUAAAGGGUGCGUAGGCGGAAUAUCAAGUCAGCGGGAAAAAUUCGGGACUCAACCCCGUCGUGCCGUUGAAACUGAUGUUCUUGAGUGGGAGAGAAGUAUGCGGAAUGCGUGGUGUAGCGGUGAAAUGCAUAGAUAUCACGCAGAACUCCGAUUGCGAAGGCAGCAUACCGGCGCCCAACUGACGCUGAAGCACGAAAGCGUGGGUAUCGAACAGGAUUAGAUACCCCUGUAGUC
rnacentral:rRNA from 1 species